rnacentral:rRNA from 1 species
AGGGAUUGCCCUAGUAACGGCGAGUGAAGCGGCAACAGCUCAAAUUUGAAAGCUAGCCUUCGGGUUUCGCAUUGUAAUUUGUAGAGGAUGAUUUGGGGAAGCCGCCUGUCUAAGUUCCUUGGAACAGGACGUCAUAGAGGGUGAGAAUCCCGUAUGUGACAGGAAAUGGCACCCUAUGUAAAUCUCCUUCGACGAGUCGAGUUGUUUGGGAAUGCAGCUCUAAAUGGGAGGUAAAUUUCUUCUAAAGCUAAAUAUUGGCGAGAGACCGAUAGCGCACAAGUAGAGUGAUCGAAAGAUGAAAAGCACUUUGGAAAGAGAGUUAAAAAGCACGUGAAAUUGUUGAAAGGGAAGCGCUUGCAAUCAGACUUGUUUAAACUGUUCGGCCGGUCUUCUGACCGGUUUACUCAGUUUGGACAGGCCAGCAUCAGUUUCGGCGGCCGGAUAAAGGCUCUGGGAAUGUGGCCUCCACUUCGGUGGAGGUGUUAUAGCCCAGGGUGUAAUACGGCCAGCCGGGACUGAGGUCCGCGCUUCGGCUAGGAUGCUGGCGUAAUGGUUGUAAGCGACCCGCUA